AUUUAAUUUAUUAUUAAUAUUUUUAUUUUUAUUAAUAAAAGUAAUUUUAUUAAUUUACAUUUUAGUAUAUUUUAUAGAAAAGAUAAUUUUAAUUAUAGAUAAUUAGUAUUGUAAAAGAAAUUUGAAAUAAAUAAAAAAUUUUUGUAAGUAAAAUUGAUUUUUUGUACCUUGUGUAUCAGGGUUAAUUAAUUUAAGUUUAUUAAUUUUAAGUUUCCCGAUUUUAAGAGAUUUAAUAAGUUAUUUUUUUUAUUGUAAUAAAAAUAUUUAUAAUAAUUUAUUAGUAAUGAAAUGUUAUUCGUUCUUAAAGAUAUCUGGUUUAUUUAGAAAUAAAUUUAAUUUAGUUAAUUUUAUUUUAUUAUUUUAUUUUUUAAAAUAAAUAAAUUUAAUUAUUAAUAUUUAAAGGGAUAAGCUUUUAAAUAAAAUUUUAUAAUAUAUUUAAGUUUAAAUAAAAAAAUAGGUUUAGAAAUAUUUAUUAUUAAUAGUUUGUUAUAAUUAUUUUAUUUUCAUUUAUUAUUUAAAAUAUAUUUAAUUUUUUAUAAAUAGAUAUUAUUUAAUUAAAAAUUAUUAGAUAUAAUGAUUAAAUUAGUAUAUAUAUUAUAUUUAAAUAAUAUUCUUUUAUAGAUUAUUUAAAGGAAUUCGGCAAAAUUUUUAUUCGCCUGUUUAACAAAAACAUGUCCUUUAGAGAUAAUUAAAGGUUUAACCUGCCCACUGAAAAAUUUUUAAUGGCCGCAGUAAAUUGACUGUGCAAAGGUAGCAUAAUCAAUAGUUUUUUAAUUGAAAGCUUGUAUGAAUGGUUGGACGAGAUAAAAUCUGUCUUUAAUUAAUAAAUAGAAUUUAAUAUUUAAGUUAAAAAGCUUAAAUAAAAUUAAAAGACGAGAAGACCCUAUAGAUCUUUAUAAUAAUUUAAUUAUUUUUAUUUAAGAUUGGUUAUUAAUUUAAUUUAAUUAUUAUUAUAUUGGGGUAAUAGAAAGAUUUAAUUAAUUCUUUUUGUAAAUAAACAAUAAUUUUUGAUUAGUUGAUCCAUUAUUAAUGAUUAUAAGAUUAAGUUACCUUAGGGAUAACAGCGUAAUUUUUUUAGAGAGUUCUUAUCGAUAAAAAAGUUUGCGACCUCGAUGUUGGAUUAAAAAUUAUUUUAGGUGUAGUAGUUUAGAAUUUUGGUCUGUUCGACCAUUAAAUUUUUACAUGAUCUGAGUUCAGACCGGUGUAAGCCAGGUUGGUUUCUAUCUUUAGUAAAUUAAAAUAUUUUAGUACGAAAGGACCAAGUAUUUGAUAUGAAAUAUUUAUUUUAUUGAAUUAUAUU
rnacentral:rRNA from 1 species